rnacentral:lncRNA from 1 species
GAAGACUCAUGCUGAGAGAGCAGUGAGGGUCUCUCCUUCUGGAAUCGUCAAAGAGAGAAGUUCUUUCUCUGGAUUGACUGUGAUAUUUAGAGCACAGGAGAUGAAAAAGGUUGCAGUGGAGAAUUAAACAAAGGAACAUAAGCGUAAUAUCACUGACAUGAUGGAGAAGUGAGUAUCCAUGGGAUUAGGGAGGAGGGCAAUAGCAUUGAGUGGGAAAAAAAGGGGCAUAUAGGAUUUGAAGAAAGAGCAUGAGAUUUGAAAUAUAAAAUUCUCAUUUCAGAUUCUGGUCCAUAUUUCUCAUGUGCUUCCUCAUUUGCAAAAUAAAGGAUUUGAACAAGUUGAUUUCUGAG